UACAGAGGUCCCAAGCGUUGUUCGGAUUCAUUGGGCGUAAAGGGUGCGUAGGUGGCGCUGUAAGUCGGGUGUGAAAUUUCGGAGCUUAACUCCGAAACUGCAUUCGAUACUGCGUGUGCUUGAGGACUGGAGAGGAGACUGGAAUUUACGGUGUAGCAGUGAAAUGCGUAGAGAUCGUAAGGAAGACCAGUGGCGAAGGCGGGUCUCUGGACAGUUCCUGACACUGAGGCACGAAGGCCAGGGGGAGCAAACGGG
rnacentral:rRNA from 1 species